GAUAACCUCUAGCAUACUUUAUUUUGGGGUAAAGAUACAUUGUGUAAGUCAUAUGAUGAGAAAAAACUGCAGUUAUCAAAAUUUCAAGAUGUUUGUAGGUAUGCUUUUGCUCAUCAUCAUUGACGAGAUACCAGCUAGUCCUGUAAACUACUGGA
rnacentral:lncRNA from 1 species